rnacentral:snRNA from 1 species
CUGCUCAUCUCGGCACCACCUGUACUAAAGACCUGUCGCAAUACAGAGAAGAUUAUCACAGCUCUUGUGCAAACAUGACAUGCAAAUGUGUGAAGUGUUCCAUGUUUUU